CCUACGGGUGGCAGCAGUGAGGAAUAUUGGUCAAUGGACGAGAGUCUGAACCAGCCAAGUAGCGUGAAGGAUGACUGCCCUAUGGGUUGUAAACUUCUUUUAUAGGGGAAUAAAGCGUUCCACGUGUGGCAUUUUGUAUGUACCAUAUGAAUAAGGAUCGGCUAACUCCGUGCCAGCAGCCGCGGUAAUACGGAGGAUCCGAGCGUUAUCCGGAUUUAUUGGGUUUAAAGGGAGCGUAGGUGGAUUGUUAAGUCAGUUGUGAAAGUUUGCGGCUCAACCGUAAAAUUGCAGUUGAAACUGGCAGUCUUGAGUACAGUAGAGGUGGGCGGAAUUCGUGGUGUAGCGGUGAAAUGCUUAGAUAUCACGAAGAACUCCGAUUGCGAAGGCAGCUCACUGGACUGCAACUGACACUGAGGCUCGAAAGUGUGGGUAUCAAACAGGAUUAGAUACCCCUGUAGUC
rnacentral:rRNA from 1 species